UGAGUUUCAGCUCAGGGGUUACCCUUCUAUUGUCCAAGUCAUUAUUUCCUACGGGGACUUGCAUUUCUGCAGGAAUAUCUGGGUGGGGAGUUACUGCUGGACAAGAAAUGUGCAGACAGUAAGUCUGGAGGUAACACAGAGACAAAAGGAUUUCUGGAGGAGAAAAGGGAGUGAAGAGGAUCUGAAGAUGAUGAUGACGGGCACUUCUGAAACGCUCCUCUUACCCCUCUCCAGCAGAGUGGUUUCAGACUAUUGCUUUUAUGAGCUGGCAUUUCCCUUUGUCACUAGUGCAUCAUGU